AGAUGUACAAUGCAGGUGAUCCAGACUCCAAACAUGGUGUCUGCAAAUGAGGGAGGCACAGUCACCAUCAAUUGCCAGAAAAUUCAGAGCUUUAGCAGUAGGUUAUCCUGGUAUCAGCAGAAACCAGAACAACCUCCAAAGCUCCUGAUCUACUGGGCAUCCACUUUAGCCUCUGGGGUCCCUGACAGGUUCAAGGGCAGUGGAUCUGGGACAUCAUUCACUCUCACCAUCAGCCCUGUGCAGGCUGCGGAUGCCGGAAUCUACUACUGUUUUGGUGAUUAUAGUG